rnacentral:lncRNA from 1 species
GUGGCACAUGCCUGUAAUCCCAGCUACCUGGGAGGCUAAGGUACAAAAAUUGCCUGAACCCAGGAGGCGAAGGUUGCAGUGAGCUUAAAUCACGCCACUGCACUCCAGCCUGGGUAACAGAGUGAGACUCUGUAUCAAAAAAAAAAAAAAAAAAGUUGAUGUUACCUGAUGAGUAUAAUAAAUUAACAUAAUAGCAUACUUCAUCAGCUUAGAAUCGUGGGAUUUUUAGAGUUGGAGGGGAGCUUCAGCUAUCUGUUAACUUAAUAAUUCCUGAUUUUUUCAUCACCUUGUCCCUCAUGUUUUGAAAUAUUUUUGUCUAAUGAACAUGAUUUUUAAAAAAUAAUAAUUUGCCUUUUUUAUUAAUCAGAUCUAUAUGGCUGCCACCUAGAAAUUCUGAUCAGCAGGAAAUAGGCAGUGUUACUGCACCAAGUAACUCCUGCCAGAAGCUAACGCAAAAACAAAUCAACAUAAAAACUUUCGUUAUGGAGUGAUGGUGUGAAGCCCUGCCACCUUUGAAUAUGUGAUUUCUGUUAACCCUUACUACCAAGAAUGCUCUUGGGCACUGCCUCUGAGGACUGAAGUGCUCAAGAAGCCCUGACUGGAAAACAGCCAGCCAGGCUAACCCUUUUAUUUUCUAUAUAAGGAAACAGCCCCAGAGAAGAUAAGUGAUGGAAUCAAAACCAGGACACAGGUAAAUACCUAAGAUAGCCUAAUGUUUGGGCUUUGCCCUUUUAGUAGCAAUCCUUAGCAGAAAACAGGUCAGUGAGGACCCUGACUAUGCUAUGGGGCCUGAUCUUAUAGGGCAGAGACCAUUGCGUAUUUGCAUUUUUCUCCCCACGGGACCUAGCACCCUGCCUUACCCAUGGUAAGUGCUUGUUACAUCCUCCCUGAGUGAGUGGGUUGCGAGGAAGUAGGCUGAGAGGAUGGGAGCUUGUUGCAGGUCAGCGAGCAGAGUCCUGGGUGAAGAUACUGCCUUGGGGAUCCUGGGCAGCUAGUGGGCAGCCUAGGGGAAAAGAGCAACUGCAGAGACGGAGCAAAAAAAGCGGGUGUGAGGCACCCAACAAAAGCUGCCUACCUCAGUUUUCCCAGUUUGGAGCUGGCUAACUCGGAAGGGUUCUCUGAGGCCUCACUGUGGCAGCCCUUUGUGUUCCUCUGUCUUGGAUUUGGAGUAGGGUUUCUCAAUGUUCACCGAACAAGUCCGGUCCUGUCACUCCCUUGCUAGAAGUCUUCUGUGGAUACCUGUUACCCUCAGGGGAAUCCAAACAUGGCUGGCAACGCUAUAUAUGAUCUGUCCCUACCAGCUUCUCUAACAUGUUCCCUCUUUAUCUCGUGUGUGUGUGUGUGUGUGUGUAUGUGAGACUGAGUCUCACUCUGUUGCCCAGGCUGGAAAACAGUGGUACAACCAUGGCUCACUGCAGCCUCGACAUUUCCAGCUUCAGGGGAUCCUCCCACCUCAGCCUCCCGAGUAGCUGAGACUACAGAUGUGUGCCACCAUGCCCCAGGCAAUGUUUGUAUUUGUUUUUGUUUUGGUAGAUACAGGGUUCUGCCAUGUUGCCCAAGCUGGUCUCGAACUCUUGGGGUCAAGCAAUCCACCCACUUUGGCCUCUUAAAGUGCAGGGUUUACAGGCAUGAGCCACCUCACCUGGCCCUCUUUAUCUCUUAACAUUUCCCCCUCGUAUUCCCCAUUCCAACCUUCUUGUGGCUCCCUUCCUUCCCUCUGAGCCUUUGGUUGCACAAGUUCCUUCUACCUGGAACUCCCUUUCCCUUCUCUGUUCCUCUUACCUGGCUAAUUCCUCCUUUCUCCUGGAAGCCUUCUCUUACAUCCUCUUUACCCCUCCCUGCAAAUUGGUUAGACACCCUUCCCGUUUCCCACAGUACAGUAGUAUUGAUGAUACUGUUUCAGGAGGAACUGACAACCCUGCCUCCAGUUCUGGCUUACCCACUCCCUUCUAUCAGAGAGACACAGUAACAAAGGAGGUCCACGUUGCUAUCCUUCAGCAACUAAGCAGGAAUCAUUUAAAAAUAGCGUGGGUCGGGGAAAGCUGCCAGGACUUGGAGGGACUUUGAUCCAGCCUCUCCAUCUGAUAGAAUUGGGGUGCGAAAUCAAUUCUCCCACCACACUGUAUCUUACGGUAGUCUCCAGUGGAUGCCUGAAACCACGGAGAGUACGGAUCCCUACAUAUACUGUGCUUUUUCGAUCUGGUAACUCAGAUGGCUGCUAAGUGAGUAAUGGGUGGAUAGUGCAGACAGUAUGGAUACUCUGGACAAAGGGAUGAUUCAUGUCCCAGGUGGGAAGGAGUGAGAUGGCACAAGAUGUCAUUAUGCUACUCAUAAUGGCAUACAAUUUAAAACUUAUAAAUUGUUUAUUUUUGGAAUUUUCAUUUAAUAUUUUUUGACUUAAGUUGACUUUAGGUAACUGAAACUGUGGAAAGUGAAAGUACCGUUAAGGCUGAACUACUCUAUAGGGAAUUGCAUUUUAUGUGGGAUUGUUAACUUUGGCACUGAGACAAAAUUAGUUUAUAUUUCAAAUUCUCCUUGAAUAGCUCUUAAAAACCCUAAAUCAGUUUCUCUAUCUCUUAAUACUCAUUGUUGCUCUAUGCUUCCCAGUUAAUUAAUUGUCUUCCUUAAGAUUUAGACCAAGUCGUAAGUAUAUUCUUGCCUGGUCACCUGAUAAUGUAUUUUACUUCUUUGUCAGUGAUUGGGAAAUUCUUAAAAUCAUUUCCAUAUCAUUACACACCCCUCUCACUGCCCCGCAGUUUCAAGCUUGAUUGUGUCUGUUGCUUGUUUGUUGCAUUGCACAGUACACGGUUGUAUUCAUAAAGAUUCAUAGCGGUACUCCCAUGGGACUGUUUUUGCCCUGUUAUUUCCCACAGUGGGGUGACGUGGAAGGCUGAGUGGGAUCUGUGAGGUGAAAAGGAAGCAGAGGGGCAGAGAGGAGAGCAUAUUCCAAUGCUGGAGGCAUGAAGGUGCUUAUGACUCAGAGACCAUCAAAAGCUCAGUGUGGUUAGAGUAGAAACAAUGUUGGGAAGGUGGGCCGGUGGGCCGUUAGGGACCCUGUAGGCCACGUAACUGAAUCUAUUGGAGACACAGUUUCUUCCUCUAUUGUAAUGGGUGUAAUGGGGAUAGUAGCUGCCUCCAGGGCUGUUCUGAAAAUGAAAAAAGGCAAUGCUGUGAAAGCAUUAAGUCCAGGCUUGACACAGAUGCCAAACGAAUGCGUUUUCUUUUCUACUUACCUUCUUAGAGUUUGGACUGUAUGUUAUAAGCAGGGGUGAUGUUCAAAAUAUUUAACCACCAGUACAACCCAGGUACCACCCAGUCAAAGUAGAUGUGGGUCAUAAACAACCAGCCUUGGAGUGUAGGUGAGCUGCUGCCAAUUGCUCCUGCCUGACAGCAAUAAGGAGCCAUCAGAGAUGGCACAUUUGAGUGCCAUCAGAUGUGUUAGAAAAACGGCUCUGAGUGUUCCAGCUCUUGUAGAAUUUUUUUAUUUUUUUUACAGACAGGGUCUGCCUCUGUCACCUAGGCUGGAGGGCAGUGGUGCAAUCCACCAUCAUAGCUCACUGCAACCUCAACCUCCUGGCCUCAGGCGAUCCUCCAGCCUGGCCCUCCCAAAGUGCUGGGAUUACAGGCAUGAGCCGCCACACCCUCUUUUAGAAUUUGGUUAGCAGGUUUUCUGCCUUUUACCAGAAAACUUUUCAUGAAAAAAAGAAAAAGAGCUCUGGCUACAGAGCAGGGGGGUGAUACUGGUGUGGGAAGCACUGGCGCGGAGAGGCCUGUUAGAAGACUAGAAAUUACCUAAGGACCCUGACGAAGAACAUCUGGCACUUAGUGCCAUUCAGUCUGAAAAGUGUGACAUUCCCAACUCAUCUAUUAAUAGCUGAGAGAAUUAUUUUUGGGGAUCAAGUGCCCUCAACUAGAAUAAAGUCCUGAAGCAGAAAAAUCCUGCCAGGCACGCUGGCUCAUGCCUGCAAUCCCAGCACUUUGAAGGCCAAGGUGGGCAGAUCUCUAGAACCCAGGAGUUUGAGACCAGCAACAUGGUGAAACCCUGUCUCUCCAAAAAAUACAAAAAUUAGCCAGGUGUGGUGGCGCAUGCCUGUAGCUACUCAGGAGGCUGAGGUGGGAGGAUCACUCAAGCCCAGGAGGUUGGAGCUGCAGUGAGCUGAGAUUGUGCCAUUGCACUCCAACCUAGGCAACAUAGUGAGCCUCAGAAAAAAAAAAAAAAAAAGAAAGAAAGCAAAAAUCUAGCAACCUCAGGAAAUGGUAGGCCCUUGAUAUCAUCUAGGAUUUUCUCCACAUCUAGUCUGUAAUAAUCUACUUCAUACCCAAAGAAGCUAAUUUUGCUUCUAUUUGUGGAUUUAUUGUUAUGUGGCUGGCCUCAUGUUUCCUGAAAGAAACCUGAGCAGAAGGGAAGGGAAGUAGCAUGCGAAGUGGUUUAUGAGUUAUUUCUUUUGAGCUCAUUCAAUCUUGGUGUGUUGGGUAUCAUUAGAUGCAUUUUAUUAUUGUGGAAACUGAGGCUUUGGUUAUUGACUGAUUCCUCAACAAGUAGUGGGAGGCUUCUAGCCUAUGUCCAUCUUGUUCCAAAGUCUGUGCUCUUUUCUCUGCCUCUCUGCGAAUGUGGAAUCCUUCUCCUUUUCAGUUUAAGCUUCCAGGACACUUACAUUUCCCACUCACCCCUCCAGCCACCCAACCCAUGUUUAAGAAAAACAACUUGUAAGGUAUGUUUUUAUUUUACAAAAAAAAAAAGUGACAUGCAAUAACCCAUCUUCUAACAAACUAUUAACGCU